rfam:Lupinus angustifolius cultivar Tanjil chromosome LG19, whole genome shotgun sequence.
AGGUGUGAUCAUACCAACACUAAUGCACCGGAUCCCAUCAGAACUCCGCAGCAAGCGCGCUUGGGCGAGAGUAGUACUAGGAUGGGUGACCUCCUGGGAAGUCCUCGUGUUGCACCUC